UGAAUACUCCCUUCGUCCGGAAAUACUUGUCGUAGGAAUGUAUGUAUCUAGAUAUAUUUUAGUUCUAGAUACAUUUAUUUUUAUCCAUUUUUGUGACAAGUAAUUCCGAACGAAGGGAGUACAAC
rfam:Hordeum vulgare subsp. vulgare, WGS project CAJW01000000 data, contig: morex_contig_2549321